AAAAAAAGAAAAAGACAUACUCCUUGAAGAGAAAAAGGGCCUCACUCUUACUCUGGUGGUACCAGAGAAUGGCAUAGCCCUUUGGGAGAGUAAUUGGACAGCAUCUCACUUUUAAAUAUGGCCACCCUUUGCACCCAAAGCCCCAGGCUGGGACUUGCAGCCAGGAAUUGCACAGUGGUCAGGCAGGCCCACUGACUGGAACUAGAACGUGGAUUUUAACUCCAACCCCGUCUCUUAUCAGCUCUAAAACCCUGAACAUGCCAUUUAUCUGUCUGCCUCAGCUUUCACAUCUGUAAAAUUAAGCUAAUAAAAAUAUCUAAUUAAUCGGAGUUUUGAGCUAAUACAUUGCAAAGGGCAGGGCAGACACAUAGAAAGUGUUCAAUACAUGUUAGCUACUAUUGUUAGCUCAGGCAAGGGUUUGGGCAGAAGUGCAAUUUGUCUUUUUUUUUCUUUUUUUCUUUUUUUUUUUCUUGAGACAGGGUCUCACUCUGUCGUCCAGGCUGGAGUGCGGUGGUGCCAUCUCAGCUCACUGCAACCUCCAUCUCCGAGGUUCAAGAGAUUCUCCCACCUCUGCCUCCCCAGUAGCUGGGACUACAGGCGCCUGCCAUCACACCCAACCAAUUUUUGUAUUUUUUGUUAGAGGUGGAGUUUCACCCAUGUUGGCCAGGCUGGUCUCAAACUCCUGACCUCAAGUAAUCCUCCCGCCUCAGCCUCCCAAAAUGCUGGGAUUAUAGGCAUGAGCCACCGUGACUGCCCCAAAUGCUCUUUGCAAAAUUAUCUGCAUAGCGCCAUCCCGAGGCAACCUCAAUAAAGUUCCAUCAAUAGGGAAAUGAAUCCAAUUAUGGUCUAUCCAUACUAUAGAAGAAAAUGUAAUUUUAAGAAGAUUGUGUUAAUGGGAGACAAUUUGAGACCCAUAUCAGCAAGUCAGACCAAAUGUGAAAAAGCAGUGAGUCCUGUGGAACAUUGGGAUAUGUGACAUAGGGAGGACUGGAGGGGACUUGGCCUCUGGGGGCCUCUGUUUCUCCAAUGAGAGACAAUUUGAGCUGUUAUCUGAACAGUCAGUCAAUACUAAUCAACUUUUUUAAAUGCACACAUCUUUUAACCCAACAGUUCUACUUUUAGGAGCUUAUUCAACAGUUACACUUGCACAUUUGCACAAAGAAUCAUAAAAAAAGGUUUGUGGCAGUGCUGUCAAAGGCAAGAACAACCUAAAUGUCCAUCAACACAGGAAUUGUUAAAAAAUUAUGAUGUAUCCAUCCAGUGAAAGCUUAUGUAGCCUUUAAAGUUAUCAAAGCAGGUCUAGAUGUGCGGAUGUAGGAAAAUUACAUGUAAAAUCGUCUUCAAUUUAAAAAAAAAAGACAAAGAAAAGCUUAGGUACUCACAAUAAGAGUCAUGAAAACUUUUGAGAGGGCAGGGGGCUGCUCUGGGGACCCCCAAGGAGAUAGCCUCCGAUAAUGGUGAGUCCUGAAGGUAGAACACCCCCUCAUUCUGCUUUGUUUCUUCUCUCCACCCUCAGUGCCCAGGACAGGACAGGACAGGACAAGUACUUAUUGAGCGCCACAGAGAGAGAAAGAAGAUAGGACAGGCUCUUGGGGCUCUGAGGCUCACAACAAACAAAAUGUGAUGGGGCAGCCCCUUGGAGUAACUCCAAGUCUGAGCUCAGCAGAGCUACAAGACUUCUGGAUGUGCAGAGCCCAAGUUUCCCAUCAUUUCAUCCCUGCUAGUGCUCUGGGCUGGGCUGAAGCAGCUUGUUCUGCUAGAUUUGGAACAAACACAAGCGCCUAGAGGAGACCGAGCAACACAUACUGAUCCUAUCAGGCCUAGCUGAGCCCAAGAGUUUCCUAGCUUUGCCCCAUCUAACCAUACUCUUUCAGGCGUCUUAUCUGGUUCCUGUAAGUCUUGGCCCCCAGUCCAUCUCCAUGCAAGCAAAAAUCCCUUGGACCCCGAAAGCUAAUGAAAUUUUAAAAAUAAAAAAAUUAAAUUAAAAACAGAAGAAAUCCGAAAAAAAAACUGAGAUCUACAAUCUCACAAAGAAAUAAAAGAAUAUGAAAUUGCUACUAUUCAACGAUUAGUUUUACCUUAAAAACGGCAGCUUUAUAUGGCUAAUCUUAAUGAAUUAAAACAACUUUGAGAUAUUAUUUUUAUCCUUUCAUACUGGCAAAGAUUAAAAAGGUUUGUUAACAUCUUGAAUCAGCAAAACUCUGGAGAAACAGGCACAUUAAGGGCAGAAGACAAACUUGUACCAUCCCUAUGAAAGGUGAUUUUGGCAAUUAACUGUUAAAUGACAAAUCUAAAUACCCUUUGGCCUAGCUAUUCCACUGCUAGAAGUUUAUUCUACAGAUAUACUCACAUACCUGGAAUGUACACAGUUAUUAAUUACGACAUUGUUUGUAAUCACAGAGAAUAAGAAAAAACCAAGCACCUAUCAAUUGGUGGACUGGUUAAAUAAAUUAUAGUACAUUCUCUCUUUCUUUCUCUCUCUCUCUCACACACACAGACACACACAAAAAUUAUCCAUAAAAAUUAAAUAAGAAAUCUCUUUAGGGGCCAGGUACGGUGGCUCAUGCCUAUAAUCCCAGCAUUUUGGGAAGCCAAGGCAGGCAGAUCACCUGAGGUCAAGAGUUCGAGACCAGCCUGGCCAAUAUGGUGAAACACCGUCUCUACUAAAAAUACAAAAAAUUAGCCUGGCAUGGUGGCGCACGCCUGUAAUUCCAACUACUCGGGAGGCUGAGACACGAGAAUUACUUGAACUCAGGAGGUGGAGGUUGCAGUGAGCCAAGAUGGCACCACUGCACUCCAGCCUGGACAACAGAGCAAGACUCUGUCUCAAAAAAGAAAAAAGAAAUCUCUUUACGUACUGAUUUGAAAUGCUUUCUAAGAUCUAAUCUCAUCUGUAUGCAAAUUUUUAAAAACAUGCACACAAGGUACAGAACAAUGUGUAUAGUAUGUUACCAUCUGGGUAAAAAAGGUGUGUUAUGGUAUCUAAAAAAUUGAAAACAUUUGUUGUAGAGGGGAACUUGGAUAGCUGGAAAAUAGAAGUAGGAAGGAGACUUUUCAUUAAAAUGCUGUUUUGUGCCUCUUGAAUUUUGAAUCUUCUGAAUAAUUGCCCAGUCAAAACAAACAGCAAACAAAGCACACCGGAGGAAACAAUGAAGCUUUCCAGAGUGGAAAGCCAGGAACCUGGAGCUUAGAGGCAACCUGAGGAGGCAAAACUAAUCCAAGUGGGGUAGAGGGAGAUUGCCACAAGGCCAUAGCUCACCUAAGCCAGGGAAGAGGAGUAGCCCCAUUACCAUCAGUCCCAAUGACCCACUCUGUGCUUCCUGUCCCCGCGACUCUAGGCUUUGCAAGGUUAGAGACCCUAGUCCCCGAAGGCGCUGCACUCUUGCCAGGGGACACAACAAGGGUCCUAUUGAAUUACAAACUAUAGCUACUCACCAGUGUCUAGCUGAUGAGAGAAGGAGUCCCCAUAACAGCAUGAGUAAUUGAUGGCAAUCUCAGAUCACUGCAGCCUCCGCCCCCGACUCGCCUGACCCCGCCACCCACUCCAUCUUGGGUUCAAGCGAUUCUCCUGCCUCAGCCUCCCAAGUAGCUGGGACUACAGGGGCACACCACCACGUCCGGCUAAUUUUUGUAUUUUUUGUAGAGAUGGGGUUCUCGCUAUGCUGCCCAGGCUGGUCUCCAACUCCUGGGCUCAAGGUAUCUGCCCCCACUUGGGCUCCCAAAGUGCUGAGAUGACAAGCGUGAGCCACUGCACCUUUCCCCCGCAUUGCAAUUGUGAAUGGACAUGUGUAGUAACCCCAGUCUAAGAAGGGUAUAAUUACCAAGGGUCACUCCACCGCGUAAGCUACAACCAGCAAAAGUGAUCCAUGAGGGUGAGGGGGAUUGAGUAGAUAGUGGAGGAGGGAGAAGAUAAGUACCAGUUACAACCAUGAGAUCAGCUGCAGCAAUGGGGGCUGUAGCUGUCCAACUAGUUAGAAAAAGAGGCCUUGAGGAACCACAGAGGAACUUCUCCCUGGACCUGUGUGGAAAGGCAUGUUCAUGCAAUACCAGCAGGUGAACUGAAGCAACCAUGAGAAUGUGCCUCUCAGAUCUCACCUGCAGGGAGCAUAUUUCACCAAUGGUCCUGUGUGUGCUCUGAAAUCUGUCAGAGCACAGGCUGCUCCCAGUCAAUGUCUGAGCAUUGUGGGAACACUGUACCCAGGAGAUGUAGGACUCUUCUCAGAGGCAGUUUUGGCUCAAAGACUCCCCCUCAAAAGUGAUGCCAAAACUUUCUUAGAAUUGCACUGCACUGUAAGAUUCUUCCCGUCUAACUUGCCUUCCUUCCUUCCUCCCCUCUCUUCUCCAUCAUAGCCUGAUGCUCUCCCAGGCUUCACCAGCUUCCUUUCCAUUUUCCCUUUCAGGCCUUUUCUCAGUAAAUCUCUUGAGGUCUAACCCAAUCUUGGCAUCUACUUUUUGGAAGACCGGCACUAACACAAAAGCUACUGCUAUUGUGUAUAAAAGUGAGUUCCAAGCUUCCCGGAAGUCAAAGGAAAAAUAUUACUGUAUAGUA
rnacentral:lncRNA from 10 species